rnacentral:rRNA from 1 species
GGGGUAAAAUUAAUAAAUGGGGUUAAUUAAUAAAAGAAAUUUUAAUAUUAAAAAUAUUUAAUGGGGGUUAAAGUAUUUUUAAUUGAAAAAAUUUGAAAUUUUAUAGUGGAGUAGUAUUGUGAAAGAAAUUUGAAAUAAUUAAAAUAAAAAUUAAUUUUAAAGUAAUCUUUAUUUGUUGUAUCUUGUGUAUCAGAGUUUAUUAAAAAUUUUUUAUUUAAUUUAAAAUUCUCGAAUUUAAAAGAGUUAAUUAAUUAAUAAAUUUAUUGUUUCAUAAAUAUUUUAAAUAAUUAAUUGGAAAUGAAAUGUUAUUCGUUUUUAAAUAUAUCUAGUUAUUUUAGAAAAAAAUUUAAUUUUUAAUUAAAAUUUAAAAUUAAUUAAUUAAUUAAUUAAUUUUAAAUUUUAAUUUAAUAUUUUAAGGGAUAAGCUUUAAUUUAAAUUUUUAUAAUAAAUAAAUUAAAUAUUUGAAAAUUUUAUAAUUUAUAUUGUUAAUAAAUUUUAAUUUAUUAUAAAUAAUUUCAAUAAAAUUGAAAAUUUAAUUAAAAUUUAAUUUUUUAUAAAAAAAUUUUUUUUAAUAAUAAAAAAUUAUUUAUAAUGAUAAAAUUAGUAUAUAAAUGUUGAAUUUAAUUUUAAUUUUUAGUAAAGUAUUUUAAAGGAAUUCGACAAAAAAUUAUAUUCACCUGUUUAUCAAAAACAUGUCUUUUUGAUUAAUAAUUUAAAGUCUAAUCUGCCCACUGAUUUUUAAAAAAUUAAAGGGCUGCAGUAUAUUGACUGUACAAAGGUAGCAUAAUCAUUAGUCUCUUAAUUGGUGACUUGUAUGAAAGAUUGGAUGAGAUAUAAGUUGUCUCUAAAAUAUUUAUAGAAAUUAAUUUUUUAAUUAAAAAGUUAAAAUAAAUUAAAAAGACGAGAAGACCCUAUAGAGUUUUAUAAUUAUUAAUUUUUAAGUUUUUUAUUAAAUUAAAUUUAAUUUAAAAAUUAUUAAUUAUUUUAUUGGGGUGAUAAAAAAAUAAAUUAAACUUUUUUUUAUAUAUAACAUAAAUAAGUGAUUAAUUGAUCCAAUAUUUUUGAUUAUAAGAAAAAAUUACCUUAGGGAUAACAGCGUAAUUUUUUUUUUUAGUUCAAAUAAGAAAUAAAGUUUGCGACCUCGAUGUUGGAUUAAGAUAAAAUUUAAAUGCAGAAGUUUAAAAUUUUGAUCUGUUCGAUCAUUAAAAUCUUACAUGAUCUGAGUUCAAACCGGUGUAAGCCAGGUUGGUUUCUAUCUUUUAAUUAAUUUAAUAUUUUAGUACGAAAGGAUUAAAUAUUAUAAUUAAAUUAAAUCAAAUUGAAUUUUAUUAAUUUAUUAAUAUAUAUAUAUAUAUAUAUAUAAAUUUA